rnacentral:rRNA from 1 species
UACAGAGGGGGCAAGCGUUGUUCGGAAUUACUGGGCGUAAAGGGCGCGUAGGCGGCCUGUUAAGUCGAACGUGAAAUCCCCGGGCUCAACCCGGGAACUGCGUCCGAUACUGGCAGGCUUGAAUCCGGGAGAGGGAUGCGGAAUUCCAGGUGUAGCGGUGAAAUGCGCAGAUAUCAGGAGGAACACCGGUGGCGAAGGCGCCACUCUGGGCCGAAACUGACGCUGAGGAGCGAAAGCGUGGGUAGCAAACAGG